rnacentral:lncRNA from 1 species
GCGGAAUGUGGCUGUCACCUAGGAGUACGUAGCUCGCUUGGUCGCAUGCCAUGAGACAUGAGCGGCGCGUGGUACGGUGGUUGCAGGUGAGCACGAGCGGCGGGUCGCGGAAGGCGCCGACGGAGGCGAAGCUCAAGGUGGCGAUCAACGGGUUCGGGCGCAUCGGGCGCAACUUCCUGCGGUGCUGGCACGGGCGCGGCGACAGCUCGCCGCUGGAGGUGAUCGCCAUCAACGACACCGGAGGCGUGAAGCAGGCGUCCCACCUCCUCAAGUACGACUCCACGCUGGGCAUCUUCGACGCGGACGUCAAGCCCGUGGGCGACAACGCCAUCUCCGUCGACGGCAAGGUGAUCAAGGUCGUGUCCGACCGCAACCCCUCCAACCUGCCGUGGGGCGAGAUGGGCAUCGACCUCGUCAUCGAGGGCACCGGCGUCUUCGUCGACCGCGCCGGCGCGGGCAAGCAUCUCGAGGCCGGAGCCAAGAAGGUGCUCAUCACCGCGCCCGGCAAGGGCGACAUCCCCACCUACGUCUGCGGCGUCAACGCCGACCUCUACACCCACGCCGACACCAUCAUCAGCAACGCCUCAUGCACCACCAACUGCCUCGCCCCCUUCGUCAAGGUCCUCGACCAAAAGUUCGGUACGUGCCCGUCUCCCUCCCUCUCUCUCUCUCUCAACUGAAUCAACUUGUUGACGAUGACUAAUGGCGGCGGUGGCAAUGGCGCAGGCAUCAUCAAGGGAACCAUGACCACAACCCACUCGUACACCGGCGACCAGAGGCUGCUCGACGCGAGCCACCGCGACCUGCGCCGUGCCCGCGCCGCCGCCCUCAACAUAGUGCCGACCUCCACCGGCGCGGCCAAGGCCGUGGCGCUGGUGCUCCCCAACCUCAAGGGCAAGCUCAACGGGAUCGCGCUCCGGGUGCCCACCCCCAACGUGUCCGUCGUCGACCUCGUGGUGCAGGUCUCCAAGAAGACCCUCGCCGAGGAGGUGAACCAGGCGUUCCGCGACGCCGCCGCCAACGAGCUCAAGGGCAUCCUCGACGUCUGCGACGAGCCCCUCGUGUCCGUCGACUUCAGGUGCUCCGACGUCUCCUCCACCAUCGACGCGUCGCUCAGCAUGGUCAUGGGAGACGACAUGGUCAAGGUCAUUGCAUGGUACGACAACGAGUGGGGUUACUCCCAGAGGGUCGUCGACCUCGCCGACAUCGUCGCCAACCAAUGGAAGUGAACGCCCCCCCACAGCGGCAUUGCCCUGUCAAGUGACUCCUCUCGAAAUUUUCCCCAGCCGUCGUCACGGAUGAUCGAUUCUUUGUAAUGAGAAUUCAAAGUAUCGAGCUCCCAACAC